rnacentral:lncRNA from 1 species
GGCACCUGCAUGAAAACAAUCGUGAAGUAGAACUAGUAGACUCUAGAUUAUCAGAAUUCAGUGAGGAGGAAGUAAAACGCUUAAUAGGGGUAGCUCUUUUGUGCACUCAAACUUCACCAAAUCUUCGGCCACCAAUGUCACGCGUAGUGGCUAUGCUAACUGGUGAUAUUGAAGUGAGCUCUGUAACUAACAGACCUGGAUAUUUGACUGACUGGAAAUUUGAUGACACAAGCAACUUUAUGGAUGAUAAUGGAGGCAGAGGAAUUGAUACCAGUUAUUACAGUUCAUCUACAAGUGCAAGCAUGGUGACCGACGCAGAGCAUACACAUAUAAGUGCCGCCAAACCCAUGCUUUCGGAGAUCAUUGGAGAGGGUAGAUAAAGAAACCUUCUUUUCUAUUUCCUUCUUUUCUAAAUGUUCAUGCAUCUAAUUGUAGAAGUGAGCUUUGCUAUCUUAAUAUUGUUUUUCACUGAUGCAAUUAAAUGGAUAUCAUAUUUUUGUUUAAUUUUUAGCCACUCAAAAAAAAAACCCAGGAUUCAUAAAUUAAUACCAAUACAUACUCCAGAAGAAAAUGGCUAAUUUUCUUCUAUAAAGGAAAAAAUAUUUCCAUUUAAUUGCAGGAAAUUUUGACAAAAUUAUUGGCCUUGAUAUUUCUUAAAUUCACUUCAUGCAUCUAAUUGUAGAAGUGAGCUUUGCUAUCUUAAUAUUGUUUUUCACUGAUGCAAUUAAAUGGAUAUCAUAUUUUUGUUUAAUUUUUAGCCACUCAAAAAAAAAACCCAGGAUUCAUAAAUUAAUACCAAUACAUACUCCAGAAGAAAAUGGCUAAUUUUCUUCUAUAAAGGAAAAAAUAUUUCCAUUUAAUUGCAGGAAAUUUUGACAAAAUUAUUGGCCUUGAUAUUUCUUAAAUUCACAGAUUAUUCUUUUUAUUACUUUGCAUCAAAAUUAAACUUUAGCAGUCCUAAACAGCCAAAAGAAACCAAAAGUAUUAAUGAAAUAGUUGUUAAAUCAUAAUUUUUUUCUUCAUGCAAUUGCUGCUUUUGUGCAAUAAACAGUAAACAGGCAAAUAUGAAAUACAAAUCAAAUUUAAGAACAUCAAACUUCUAAAUCACACUUAUUUCAUGAUUCCUCCACUGUAAAAUUCCCCAAAUUACAAUAGCAGAACAGAAUAUUCUGCACAAUCGGUUGCUACCCAAGCCAAUUGCAGCAACAAAGAAUUUUUGCCAUCAUAUUCAAAAUCCCAAAACCCCAUAACCCAACCUAACUGCACAAAAUGAUCCUUGUCAAUCCCAGAACUAAACAUGACACCGUAGAGAAAAACAGAGUAACAAAAUCCCUUGCAGACCAUUUCCUUACCACCUUCUUCUCCACGCGCAAACUCUUAGCUCUUCUAAGCGCAUCAACUUCCUUUAAAAGAUCAAAUUCUACUCCUUUCUUCUUCAACUCUUCUACACACUUGGCCAAUAACUUCCCAUCUUCUUUCUCUCUCUCCAACAACUUCUCCAUAUGGCAUUCUACAUCUGUUUUAUAUCGAACUGCCCAGAUUAUCCCCAAAGAACACAAAAGAGAACACAAUGAUGGGAUCCAUGAUCUCUUACAGUAGGACCCACUUCCAGGUGGGUCUCUAGAAGAGACAUUCAAGAGAAGAAGCAAGGAAAUGGAAUGGAAGAGGAAGAAGAAGAUAUUUCAUGAAAAUUUUCUAAAUUUAAAUCUAUAUUUUUAUUACUAAAUCUAAAUCCCGGCACAUCACUGUUAUAUUUUUAUUAUCACUCUUUGGUGUAUAAUAUGUUGUGUGAAUCAAAACACCAAGUUAACACAGAAACGUAGUUCUUUUUGUGUCGUUUAGAUACUUGUACAAUUCUCGAAGCUUGCUCUAUGCAUUUAUCCGAGGAGAGAAGGGCCACAUUUGAAUGGGCCUAGUUUAAUUGAUAAAUAAACAAUUCACUGGGCCUGAAGAAUGACCGAAUGUUGCGACAAAAAGAACAGACUUUUCUAUUAUUAAUUUGGGCUACGGGCCCAUUGAUUAAUCCAAUUGUGUCCUUAGCAAAAUAUGCUAAAUAUUAUAGAAGGUGUUUUAUUAUGAUUAUUUAUUUUUCAGAUACAAUGUUAUAAAAAUGUGAAAGUUUACCCAUAAAUAUUUUUUUAAUGGAAGCACUUAAAAGAAAAAGAAUAAAUUUAAUAUGUGCUUCGAAAUAAAUAAAAAAAAGGAAAUUCGUGAAGUGAAAAUUUUGCAGAAUCCUAACAUCAUAAAAAGAAUCCUUUUACAGAUAAAAAGUCAAUAGUGCAUAUAAUAAUUUCAAUUUGCACAUAUCAAUUAAAUAAAACCUAUUACUAAAUAUUUAUCUUAGGGAGACGACAUAGUCAAAGCUUUUUUUUCUUUUCUCCUAAUUAAUCGUAAUUCAAUUGAAAAUCUGUAUAGUCUGUUCAGAUUUUUAAGAUUUAAUGAUAAUUUUUAAAUUUUAAUUCUCUCGAUUAUAAAUAAAAAAAUUAUUUUUAUUGUUUUUAUUGUAUAACUCAUAAUAUUAUUAAAAUUUUUUUUAAAUAAUUAUUUUCGUACAUUUAACGUCGGAAGGAAUAAAAAAAUUCAAUACCGAACACUGAGGAAUUGUAAAACGGUACAUUUUUCGGAGUUUUAUUUGACGGCGUCUCUCUGGCAUCCAACCAAAAAGGUUAGAAGCAGCCAUAUCCUAAUCCUAUUUUAUUGCUUAUUUUGAUUUUUUGAGGUUGACAUUUUUAUUAAUAAACGUUGAAAUUUUCCCUUGCGGAUAUUGUAUUUGUAGCCGACAAAAGUUGAGGUGUCCAUUAAAAGUUGCUAAAACCUUGUUUUUGUCAUUUUUUUAACAACUUAGCUUAUUAAUGUAAACACACAUUUAAUUACAUUUUCUUCACCUUUGCUAUUCUCAAUCUCAUUACAUGCCGUGUUUUUCAAACACAAUUUCACAAUCAACUUGUAAACUUUUAAUUCAUUAUAGAUUUUGAUUAAAUUAUUUACAUAUAUCGGUGGGUUGAUUAUAAAUAUUUUGUAAUUUUUACAAAGAUAGUUAUGAGCAUUGCAUUUUUUGAUAUUUAACUUAAUUAUUCCAAAUCAUUGUAUUAGCAUCUAAAUGAAGUUAUUAUUCUUGAAUAAUAGAAAGUUAAAGAUAAAAAAAAAAAAAAAAAAUACUGGACUUGGUGGACUUUUCUCAAUUCGUAAGUCCCAAUGGCCGCUGUCAAUUCCCCAGUAGACUUCAAGGUUCGGUUAUCUGCCAAGGUCAACGACAGCGCGUUGUUCUCUCUGAGCUCACCUCCCAUUUUUCUAGAUAUAAAUCUAGAAUAAUAUAAAAAAAAAUAUUCAAGCUUUAUUAUAUAUUCUGGAUGCGGUUUUUGUGUGUUAAGAAAAACUGUGUCUUUAUUAAUCAAGCAAUCUUGGACAGGAAACGAUCGAUCAGUACCCAUGUUUAGAGAUUCACCAUUAUCGGUUCUAGAACUGGUAUUGGUUCUAUACUGUAUUUGCAUGAUCGGUAUAGUUCAUGCACAGAAUCAAACUCAAGCUACUACAGAUUCUAAUGAGGGUAUGAAGCUCCAUCUAUACAGCUCUCUAUCUUUUAUAUAUAUAUAUAAAUUCUUGUUGUUCAUGAAGAUGAUAGGUUGAUGACGUUGCUUUCUUCUUCUUCUUCUUCUUCUUCUAGUUGUAGCUAGUUAGCAGAUGGGUAGAUAUUAGCAAAAUAGCCAAAGAUACAAACACUUGCUCUUCCAGUCGCCUUCUUCUUCUAUGAAAUUAAUGGGUUUCAUGAAAAACAAAUUAAAAUUUUAUCCUAAUUUUUUGAAUUAUGCAGUGAGAUUCUAAUUUGUGAAGUUGAUAACAAAGAAAUAAUCGAUACUCUGCAAUUUUCAACACCUGAACGUAUACGACCACAAUUUUAAAAUUUUCCCUUAGUUUGCAGAUGGUUGAAUUGAAGAGGUUUUUAAUGAACGUCUGAAAUUUUUUCAGUUUUUAAAUUUUAAUUAUAAUGCUUAAAUAUUUUUUUAUUCAUAAUUCAAUAAAUCAUAUAUCAUAAAUUAUAUCAUAGGUAUAUAUUAUUAUCUAAAAAGAUAGUAAUAGGUUAAAUUUGUCAUUUACAUAUUACUAUCAGGUAGUGCCUGAUUAUGAUUUUUUAUAAUAAAUAGUUCUAUUAAUUUUUUAAAAGUCAAAAGAUAUAAUAAUUACUUUUGAAUUUUUAAAAUUUUGACUUACUAGUACACCAAUAAAAAUGUAGGCGAAAAUUACUAUUAUUCGCAAGUGGUGGUGGUUAUUACGGUCUACGGCAUAGUCAAAAAGAUAAAUGGCGGCGUCUGAUACUGUAAUUGAAUAAUUCAAAACUGUUUUUUCUUUUUUCUUUUUUCUUUUAAAAAUUUCAGUAUCCAACUUUGAAUUAAAAAAUGAUUUUAAUCUGAUGAAUGCAAAUUCAUGAAUUUUAUAGUGUGUUUCAUUUUCAUCAAAUUGUGAAAACUAUUGUCAAAAACCUCAGAAAUCAAUACCUCCACUGGUGAGAAGACCAACCAACUGGCUUCUUCGGUUAAGUUUCGAAGUCGUAAUAGAAACGAAAAUGGAAUCGCCUGUAAAUUGUAAUGAAUUCACUUUGACAUGAUCAUGAGUUUUGUAAAAUUGAUAUAUUGCAGCGAGCGCAUUAAAUUCCAUCUUUCAACAAUGGGGAAUCCAAGCUAAUCAAAACCAAUGGAAUAUAAGCGGAGAGCUAUGCAGUGGAGCAGCACUCGGUUCAUCACCCACUACCGACGACGGGGAAUACAACCCUUUCAUCAAAUGCGAUUGCUCUGACAAUAAUGGCACCACUUGCCACAUUACUGCGCUGUACGUUUUCUCACAAUCAACCUUUUAUGUUUAUUUUGUUGGUCUUUUAACAUUUUCCUUUGCGGAGGUAUCAUAUCUGUUUGAUUUUAUGCCUCACUCGGUAGUGAACGGCUUGAUUUUAGUGUUAUAAUUAAUCUUCGCUCAUUCUUGAAAUGGUUUGCAGGAAGGUUUAUGCAAUCGAUGUUGUGGGUGUAAUUCCAGAUGAACUGUGGACUUUGACUUUCCUCACCAAUAUGUAUGUUUUCUUACUCCUGGGUAUAUUUAUUAAAGUCGUACCCUUCCGUAUUGCUUUCUUCUUUCACAUGGAAUGAAAGUUUAAGCUUUUAGCAUCCCAAGUCUUAACCAAAUUAUGCAUACGCUUUGUUACUUUUCGACCCUCGUCAACUCGUUAGUGUACUGAACUCGUUUUCUUUUCUUACAGGAAAUUGGAUCAGAAUUACUUGACUGGUAACCUCUCUCCAUCCAUUGGCAAUUUAACUCGCAUGCAAUACCUGUAAGCUGAUCUAAAUUNNNNNNNNNNNNNNNNNNNNNNNNNNNNNNNNNNNNNNNNNNNNNNNNNNNNNNNNNNNNNNNNNNNNNNNNNNNNNNNNNNNNNNNNNNNNNNNNNNNNNNNNNNNNNNNNNNNNNNNNNNNNNNNNNNNNNNNNNNNNNNNNNNNNNNNNNNNNNNNNNNNNNNNNNNNNNNNNNNNNNNNNNNNNNNNNNNNNNNNNNNNNNNNNNNNNNNNNNNNNNNNNNNNNNNNNNNNNNNNNNNNNNNNNNNNNNNNNNNNNNNNGUUUCUACAUAAAUAGCGAUCUAAUUAUUGCCCAAGGAUAUAGUCUGUGCUACAAAAUGCUUGCUUUUUAUAUAGUUAUAUGUGAUGGGUACUCGGAUAGAUUAUCUUAAAUAAGACUCUUUCUCUGUUGACUUUUCUCAUUAUAUUGCAGUGUUUUUGGAUCAAACAACUUCUCUGGUCCUCUGCCAUCUGAGCUUGCGAAUUGUUCGAGGCUAGAAGAAAUGUAAGCGUUGUUCAUUUUGUUCUGUUUUACGUAUAUAAUCUUCAUUUCUUGUUAGUUUGUAUUUAGUAGAAGUGGUUUUUGGAAAUCUAUAUCACUUCUACAUUCAUAUAUUGAAAUGAAUUCAAUGACAGUGAUUAUGCCAUUUUGGCUUACCUACGUUCCUACUUGCAUGUUAACUGUCUUUCAGUUCUUCCCUCACUAUCAAUAAAUAAUUUGACUUUUGCAUUUUCAAAUGAAAAAGUUAUCUGAUAACAACACAGCUAAUAAAAAUAUUUUACCUUGACAGUUAUUUUGAUAGCUCUGGAGUUAGUGGUGAAAUUCCUCCUACAUUUGCUAACCUACGAAACAUGGUUACUGUGUAUGAACUGUUUGACAACUUUGACCCUGGUAAAUCUCUUUCUAGAAGAUACUGAUAAAAGAUGUUAUGUUGAUUCUUUGUGUUGGUCUCAGGUGGGCAUCAGACAAUGAACUUACAGGCAGGAUACCUGACUUCAUAGGGAAUUGGUCAAAGCUUGCGACCUUGUAUGACAAAUGACAAUUCAUAAAAUUUUUUUUAUUAAUUUUUUUGGAUUAAAGCUCAAGUUACUACUACUUUUUGGAAAUUGAAUAGAGGAGAUUUGAUANNNNNNNNNNNNNNNNNNNNNNNGCUUAUAUCAGCUACUCAUAAAUGUAACUGCAGAAGGUUUGAAGGGAACUCCUUUGAAGGUCCUAUUCCAUCAGCAUUAUCCAACCUAACUUCUUUGACAGAGCUGUGAGUACCUGCACCUUUGCAUGCUUGUAUUUAAAUGUUACACACAUAUGAUAUUAACAACCUAAGGUAAAUUCUAAAUGUAGGAGAAUAAGUGAUUUAUCAAAUGGAAGCUCUUCACUGGCAUUUCUUAAGGAUAUGAAAUCUCUAACUGUCUUGUAAGAGAAUAUAAUACUAUCUUCUUAUUCAAUGUCUUGGUGUCAUAUAUAAAUCAUUAUUUUUUCUCCCCAGUGAACUUUUAAAAGGUAAAAUGACAAUUCAGUUUAUGUUAUUCAGGGUGCUAAGGAAUGAUAAUAUAUCUGAUUCAAUUCCAUCCAGUAUUGGAGAAUACCAGAAUUUGACACAGUUGUAAGUUAUUUCUAUUGAUGAGUCAUUAGAUGUACAUGUAGUUGGCAAUAUCUUAUGUUAAACUCAGGUUGGCUAAAAUAUCUUUUUACUCAUUAGCUGAUUGUUGAUUUGGUUGCAUCACUUUUUGGAGUUGGGCGUUACAAAAUUUAUAAAUUGCUAAAGUUUAGUGAUCAAAUUUAGCAGAUUGGUUGUGCUUUUCUGAUUAGGUAAUUGAUCACUCUAAAGUAACUGCAAAUAAAUUACCCUCUUUGGGAUGGAGUAAUGGUCUGGUGUCUGGGUUAAAUUCUGAAUCUCCUGUACCAUGAUCAAUCAGUUCUCUUUUUCUGUACUCUGUAUAACUUGUUCAGCAAUUUUGUUUAUCUUUAACCUUAUGGUUGCAAUGAUUUUUUCCCUUAGAGAUUGGAGCUUCAACAAUAUAAUUGGAAGGAUACCGGAUUCACUUUUCAAUUUGAGCCGGCUCUCUUUCUUGUAAUAUACCACCUCUGCUUGAUUUUGUCAUGAUACAUCUCAAAGUGCAUUUCAAAUUGCACAUGUACUGCUCCCUGCUCCCUUCCUCCUCAGGUUGCUUGGAAAUAACAAGUUAGAAGGUCCCCUUCCUGCACAAAAAGUUUCAUCGCUCCUAAAUGUGUAUGUACAUCUCAAAUAUUCUAUCCAACAUCAUAUACUAUCUGUUUAUUUCUUGGUUGGAUUAAAUGCUUAAUGUUUUUCUCUAUGUCCCAAGUCCAGAUAGUUAAUAUUGACAUAACUAAUUCCGGACUAAGGUAUUUCAUGAAUUGGGUGAAAUACUUAUCUUUUUUUUCUUUGACAAUUUAUAAUUACAGUGAUGUUUCAUACAAUAAUUUAUCAGGGAGCCUUCCUUCCUGGGUUAAUGAUCAAAAUUUACAAGUGUAAGUUCUUAGUUCCUCUGUUCUUUACUUUUCUUAGUGAUAUUUCUGACUCAUUCUCUAUGGAGUUAUUGAUGAAAGAACUUCCACUGAAAUCUUUAAUUCUUUGUGGUUUUUGUGCAGUAAUUUAGUUGCAAACAACUUCACAAUAGAUCUUUCAAAUAGCAGGUAAUUCUUUUGGUUUUAUGUUCACCUUUGUUCUUAAAUAACUGGUACUUAGUUUCUGUCAUAAUUUCCUAUUAGUCACUUAAUCAAAUUAAUCUUUGGCUUUCAGUGGUUUGCCAUCAGGUCUGAAAUGUCUUCAACGUAACUUUCCUUGCAAUAGAGAACCUCCAAUCUGUAAGUAUAAUUAAAAUGCUCUCCUUUUUCCUACUUUUCGGAAAUAGCGCACUAAGUUUGGUAGUGAGGGUCACAGAAGAAGGGAAGGUUAAUUUACUUAAGAAUAAUGUCAUUUCAAACUGUAAACUUUUACCAUUCUUAAUUUGGCAGAAAGUAUAACCAUGAAAUUUUUUAAUCUCCUGGUUCUUGCUAAAGAAAGUAUAACCAUGAGUUUAUCACUAAAGAAAGUUUUGUUUUCAUGGGGUUAAAAAGAUGUCCCAAUAUAACAGUGAGAGGAUAAAUCUGACAGGUUCCUAUUUUCUUCUGGUGCACAGAUUCUCAGUUUGCAAUAAAGAGUGGUGGUCCACCGAUAACGUCUUCCGAUGGAAUCUUUUAUGAGAGGGAAAAUGAGACUCUUGGUGCUGCAACAUAUUAUGUUACUGGUACAAACCGAUGGGGUGUCAGUAAUGUUGGAUAUUUUACCGGAACCAACAAUCCUCUGUAUACUGCUUCCUCAUCAUCGCAAGCCACAAAUACUUUGGACCCUGAGUUAUUCCAAACGGCAAGGAUUUCUGCUUCGUCACUAAGAUACUACGGUUUGGGGCUUGAGAAUGGCAAUUACACUAUCAACCUUCAGUUUGCAGAAAUAGUAAUUGAGGAUGGUAACACAUGGAAGAGUCUUGGGCGGCGUGUUUUUGAUGUUUAUGUCCAGGUCUGUGUAUUAUAUAUGAAUUUUUUUAAGACUUCUAAUGUUGUCCUCCAAAUGGAAGAUAAUAUUGCAAUAGACUUCUAAUUUUUUUUUUUUAAUAUUAAUUCUAAGUAUUGCUCUGGGGAUUUCUUUUAAAUAACAUGAAUAUGGAGAAUAGCUAUGAAAAAUUGCUGCAUGAUUGCUUCCAGAAGGAUUUAUCUUUCACAAUUAAAUUCAAAACUAUUUUAGUGAUGCUGAUUAUCAAUGCUAUGGAGAAAUCCAACUCUUGUUUUCUUGUGGAGUCAUUAUAUUUUUACUUUUCUUUAAUUGAAGUUCCGAAGUUAUUUUAAUCCAGGGGAAUCUUGUGCUAAAGGAUUUUGACAUAAGAAAGGAGGCAGGUGGAGUCUCUAAACGAGCUGUAGAAAAGAGCUACACGGCUCGGGUGUCUGAAAAUUACCUUGAAAUCCAUUUAUUUUGGGCGGGGAAAGGGACUUGCUGCGUUCCUCUUCAGGGUACAUAUGGACCUUCUAUUUCAGCAAUCAGUUCUACCCCAGGUACUAAAACUAGAGAAUUUUAUUGAUUUUCACUAAGCCGAUACCAGGUUAUUGAGUUCUGAGCCUUUAUGCAGAUUUCACACCAACUGUUAGUAACAAGCCUCCAACUAGUAAAAAGGAUAGGACUGGUCUUAUUGUGGGAAUUGUUGUUGGCAUUGGAGUAGCAAGCUUUCUUCUUGUCUCUCUGGUUUUCUUUGUCAUUCAAAGAAGAAAAAGGCAAAGCACUUAUGAUGAUGAAGGUAAAUGAAAAUCAAGCUCCAUAUAUGGUACUACCCAUCUGGAACAUUGUGCAGUCUUCAUAUAUGUAUCAAGAGAUGCUAUUGGCCAGACAUGAUUUUAGCUUUUUAUUGGUAUUAAUUAACAUUUAAUACUGUCAAAACGAGAUUAAGUCCAGAAUGGCUCGCGAUGGCUCCAUAUAUAUAUAUAUAUAUAUAUAUAUAUAGUCCGUUGGAGAGCAAGCUUGUGCUGAUUAGAUCGGAAAUAUUUAUUAAUUCCAAUACUCUAUAUUAAUGUAUGGUUGUACAUGGUCAUAUAUGGGCCCAUCAUAAGCCCAACAAACUUGAAAAUUUAAAGCGAGAGAAAAGAAAAAUAUAUAUUUUUAUUAUUAUUUUGAUUGAAUUUUUUUUUUCAUCUUUAACAUAUAAUUAUUUAAACAUUAAAAUACUGAUUUCCACUUUUAAAAAAAUAAAGUAAAAAAGCAAUGAAAUGAAAAAAAAAAAAAAAAAAAAAAUUGGUCACCAGCAGCCCUUGACUAGGAGCAUAGAAAAUUAAUUAGGACAAAUAUUUAGUUGGACCGUACAUGUCACACAAACGUGCCUAAUUCAAAUAGUUUUUGAAGUCAAUUCAACAUUUGAGCAACAAAUUUCUCUUGGGAUUAGGUCCAAAAGGUGCAGCUAUGCAUAUGCUUGACUCGCCCACUGUGCUACCUAUAAUUAUAUCUUGGCCCAUCUCAUGACUCGGAAGCCUGACUGUUGCUUUUAUGGUCAUCAUCCCUCCGCGAUCAAAAACAAUAAAUUUGGAAUACUUUUAGUAUACAGGUUAAAUAUUUUAAUUUAUAAAAUUAAAUUAAUUAAAUAUUUAUUAAAAUAAAAAAAUAAAAAAUUAUUAUUUUAAAAUUAGAGUUAACCACACAUCAAAUCAAUUUUUUUAACAUAUAAAAUUCAGAAAAUUUAAAACGUGUAGAUAAGUGUUUUAUGAUCAAGUUUAAAUGAAUCAGAAUACAUCCACUGAUAUUAGGGAAAUGGCAAGGGCAAUUGCCUCCUUUAAAAAUUUAAAAUUUUUAUUUUUAAUAUAUUAAAUUUUUUACUUUGGUAUUUGGUCUUUUAAAAUAUUAUAAUAAAUUUAAAUAUAUAUUUUUAUUACUAAAUCUAAAUCCCGGCACAUCACUGUUAUAUUUUUAUUAUCACUCUUUGGUGUAUGAUAUGUUGUGUGAAUCAAAACACCAAGUUAACACAGAAACGUAGUCCUUUUUGUGUCGCUUGGAUACUUGUACAAGUCUCGAAGCUUGCUCUAUGCAUUUAUCCGAGGAGAGAAGGGCCACAUUUGAAUGGGCCUAGUUUAAUUGAUAAAUAAACAAUUCACUGGGCCUGAAGAAUGACCAAAUGUUGCGACAAAAAGAACAGACUUUUCUAUUAUUAAUUUGGGCUACGGGCCCAUUGAUAUAAUCCAAUUGUGUCCUUAGCAAAAUAUGCUGAAUGUAUUGAGAUACAAUGUGAAAGUUUACCCAUAAAGAUUUUUUAAUCGAAGCACUUAAAAAAAAAAAAAAACAGAAUAAAUUUAAUAUGUGCUUCGAAAUAAUAAAAAAGGAAUUCGUGAAGUGAAAAUUUUGCGGAAUUCUGACAUCAUAAAAAGAAGCUUUUUAUAGAUAAGCAGUCACGUCAUAAAUAAGAAAUCAAUAGUGCAUACAAUAAUUCUAAUUUGCACAUAUCAAUUAAAUAAAAUCUAUUACUAAAUAUUUAUCGGAGGGAGACGAUAUAGCCAAAACCUAAUGUAAGCUGCUUAAAAUAAUUUGAAAAAAAUCCAAGUGCUGCUGGUUAUACAUUUUGAUGAAGUUGAAAAAACAAAACCUUUUUUUUUCUUAUAAAAAAAUAAAAAAUUAUUAUUUUAAAAUUAGAGUUAACCACACAUCAAAUCAAUUUUUUUAACAUAUAAAAUUCAGAAAAUUUAAAACGUGUAGAUAAGUGUUUUAUGAUCAAGUUUAAAUGAAUCAGAAUACAUCCACUGAUAUUAGGGAAAUGGCAAGGGCAAUUGCCUCCUUUAAAAAUUUAAAAUUUUUAUUUUUAAUAUAUUAAAUUUUUUACUUUGGUAUUUGGUCUUUUAAAAUAUUAUAAUAAAUUUAAAUAUAUAUUUUUAUUACUAAAUCUAAAUCCCGGCACAUCACUGUUAUAUUUUUAUUAUCACUCUUUGGUGUAUGAUAUGUUGUGUGAAUCAAAACACCAAGUUAACACAGAAACGUAGUCCUUUUUGUGUCGCUUGGAUACUUGUACAAGUCUCGAAGCUUGCUCUAUGCAUUUAUCCGAGGAGAGAAGGGCCACAUUUGAAUGGGCCUAGUUUAAUUGAUAAAUAAACAAUUCACUGGGCCUGAAGAAUGACCAAAUGUUGCGACAAAAAGAACAGACUUUUCUAUUAUUAAUUUGGGCUACGGGCCCAUUGAUAUAAUCCAAUUGUGUCCUUAGCAAAAUAUGCUGAAUGUAUUGAGAUACAAUGUGAAAGUUUACCCAUAAAGAUUUUUUAAUCGAAGCACUUAAAAAAAAAAAAAAACAGAAUAAAUUUAAUAUGUGCUUCGAAAUAAUAAAAAAGGAAUUCGUGAAGUGAAAAUUUUGCGGAAUUCUGACAUCAUAAAAAGAAGCUUUUUAUAGAUAAGCAGUCACGUCAUAAAUAAGAAAUCAAUAGUGCAUACAAUAAUUCUAAUUUGCACAUAUCAAUUAAAUAAAAUCUAUUACUAAAUAUUUAUCGGAGGGAGACGAUAUAGCCAAAACCUAAUGUAAGCUGCUUAAAAUAAUUUGAAAAAAAUCCAAGUGCUGCUGGUUAUACAUUUUGAUGAAGUUGAACAACAAAACCUUUUUUUUUUUUUUUAGUUUCUCCUAAUUAAUCGUAAUUCAAUUGAAAAUCUAUAUAGUCUAAUUUAGAUUUUCAAGAUUUAAUGAGAAUUUUCAAAUUUAAAUUAUCUCGAUUACAAAUGAAAUAAUUAUUAUUAUCGUGUAACUCAUAAUAUUAUUUUAAUUUUUUUUAAAUAAUUAUUUCGGACAUUUAAUUUCUGAGCGAAUAAAAAAAUUCGAUACCGAAAACUGAAGAAUUGUAAAACGGUACAUUUUGAAAGAGUCGGAGUUUUAUUUGACGACGUCUGUCUGGCAUCCAACCAAAAAGGUUAGAAGCAGUCAUAUCCUAAUCCUAUUUAUUGCUUAUUUUGAUUUUUUUUUUUUUGGUUGACAUUUAUAUUAAUAAACGUUGAAAUUGUCCAUUGGGGAUAUUGUUGCCGACAAAAUUUGAGGUGUGCAUUAAAAAUCGCUAAAACCUUGUUUUUGUCAUUUUUUUUUUAACAACUUAGCUUAUUAAUGUAAACACACAUUUAAUUACAUUUUCUUCGCCUUUAUCCCCCUUUGUUAUUCUCAAUCUCAUUACAUGCUUUCACAAUCAACUUGUAAACUUUUAAUUAAUUAAAGAUUUUGAUUAAAUUAUUUAUAUAUAUCGGUGGGUUGAUCGUAAAUAUUUUGUAAUUUUUACAAGGAUAAUAAAUAUUUUUUAUCGGCAAAUUCAAUUUAUUGUAUUAAUAUAUCAAAAAAAUUUAACAUGUUCAAACAAAGAUAAUUAUCAGCAUUGCAUUAUUUGAGAUUUAACUUAAUUAUUCCAAAUCAUUGUAUUAGCAUCUAAAUGAAGUUAUUAUUCUGAAUAAUAUAAAGUUGAAGAUAAAAAAAAAAAAAAAUACUGGACUCGGUGUGCCCACUCUCCGCCAAUCAUCUUCCGGGAUGCUUUUCUUGCACCCGCUGAAGUUGACAAAUCGCAGCCAGUGGACUUGUCUCAAUUCCCCAUCCCAGGGGCCGCUGUCCAUUCCCCAUUGGACUUUAAGGUUUGCUUAUCUGCCACGGUCAUUGAGAGCGCGCUGUUCUCUCUGCGCUCACCAUCCAUUUUUCUAGAUAUAAAUCUAGAAUAAUAUAAAAAAAAUAUUCAAGCUUUAUUAUAUAUUCUGGAUGUGGUUUUUGUAUGUUAAGAAAAACUGUGUCUUUAUUAAUCAAGCAAUCUUGGACAGGAAACGAUCGAUCAGUACCCAUGUUUAGAGAUUCACCAUUAUCGGUUCUAGAUCUGGUAUUGGUUCUAUACUGUAUUUGCAUGAUCGGUAUAGUUCAUGCACAGAAUCAAACUCAAGCUACUACAGAUUCUAAUGAGGGUAUGAAGCUCCAUCUAUACAGCUCUCUAUCUUUUAUAUAUAUAUAUAUAAAUUCUUGUUGUUCAUGAAGAUGAUAGGUUGAUGACGUUGCUUUCUUCUUCUUCUUCUUCUUCUAGUUGUAGCUAGUUAGCAGAUGGGUAGAUAUUAGCAAAAUAGCCAAAGAUACAAACACUUCCUCUUCCAGUCACCUUUUUCUUCUAUGAAAUUAAUGGGUUUCAUGAAAUACAAAUUAAAAUUUUAUCCUAAUUUUUUGAAUUAUGCAGUGACUUUCUAAUUUGUGAAGUUGAUAACAAAGAAAUAAUCGAUGUUCUGCAAUUUUCAACACCUGAACGUAUAAGACCACAAUUUUAAAUUUUUCCCUUAGUUUGCAGAUGGUUGAAUUGAAGAGGUUUUUAAUGAACGUCUUAAAUUUUUUCAGUUUUUAAAUUUUAAUUUUAAUGCUUAAAUAUAUUUUUAUUAAUAAUUCAAUAAAUCAUAAAUCAUAUCAUAGGUAUAUAUAUAUAUAUUCCAUCUCUCUUUUUUUUUUUCAUUUUUAAAAAUUUUUAUUAUCGUAUAAAUUUAAAAAAAAAAUCUGAAAAAUUUCAUAAUAAAAAUUUCUUCAUAUUCUAAAAAUAAAAUUAUAAAAAAAAGAGAGAAACGUGAGGAAAUCAAUAAAUGAAUAUUAGAGUAGAGAGGAACAACUUAUUUUGAUAAUUGAUGUUUCAAUACCAAAUUUUUAUUGAACAUGAUCAAUUUUUUUUUUUAAAUUAUAUGUUAUUUUAGACACUUAAUAAAAUUAAGAACUGAAAUAAAAAAAUUUUAAAAAUAUGUUUCUUGAACUGACAAGCUACGUUCGUAUUCUCUCCUCCUCCACCGCAUAUUCUUUUCAUCGAUGUAAUUAAUAAAUUUAGAAAUUUUGUUAUUAUAAUUAUUAUCUAAAAGGAUAGUAAUAGGUUAAAUUUGUCAUUUACAUAUUACUAUCAGGUAGUGUCUGAUAAUGACUUUUUCUAAUAAAUAGUACUAUUAAUUUUUUAAAAGUCAAAAGAUAUAAUAAUUACUUUUGAAUUUUUUAAAUUUUGACUUUUUCAAAAAUAAAAAAUGUCUCGCAGCUAGUACACCAAUAAAAAUGCAGGCGAAAAUUGCUAUUUUUCGCAAGUGGUGGGUGUUAUUACGAUUUACCGCAUAGUCAAAAAGAUAGACGGCGGCAUAUGAUACUGUAAUUGAAUAAUUCAAAACUGUUUUUUCUUUUUUCUUUUAAAAAUUUAAGUAUCCAAAUUUGAAUUAAAAAAUGAUUUUAAUCUGAUGAAUGCAAAUUCAUGAAUUUUAUAGUGUGGUUAAUUUUCAUCAAAUUGCGAAAACUCUUGUCAAAAAACUCAGAAAUCAAUUGGCUUCUUCGGUUAAUUUUCGAAGUCAUAAUAGAAACCAAAAUGUAAUCGCCUGUAAAUUGUAAUGAAUUCACUUUGACAUGAUCAUGACUUUUGUAAAAUUGAUAUAUUGCAGCUAGCGCAUUAAAUUCCAUCUUUCGAAAAUGGGGAAUCCAAGCUGAUCAAAACCAGUGGAAUAUAAGCGGAGAACUAUGCAGUGGAGGAGCACUCGGUUCAUCACCCGCUAUCGACGCCUACAACCCUUUUAUCAAAUGCGAUUGCUCUGCCAAUAAUGGCACCACUUGCCACAUUACUGCGCUGUACGUUUUCUCACAAUCAACCUUUUAUGUUUAUUUUGUUGGUCUUUUAACAUUUUCCUUUGCGGAGGUAUCAUAUCUGUUUGAUUUUAUGCCUCGCUCAGUAGUGAACGGCUUGAUUUUAGUGUUAUAAUUAAUCUUCGCUCAUUCUUGAAAUGGUUUGUAGGAGAGUUUAUGCAAUCGAUGUUGUGGGUGUAAUGCCAGAUGACCUGUGGACUUUGACUUUCCUCACCAAUUUGUAUGGUUUCUUACUCUGGGUAUAUUUAUUAAAGUCGUACACUUCCGCAUUGCUUUCUUCUUUCACAUGGAAUGAAAGUUUAAGCUUUUAGCAUCCUAAGCCUUAACCAAAUAAAUGCAUAUGCUUUGUUCCUUUUCGACCCUCGUCAACCCGCUAGUGUACUGAACUCGUUUUCAGGGAUUUGCGUCAGAAUUACUUGACUGGUAACCUCUCUCCAUCCAUUGGCAAUUUAACUCGCAUGCAAUACCUGUAAGCUGAUCUAAAUUUCUCUACUUUUACUCAUAGGAAAUGCCAUUAUAUACUGCUUCUUGUUUUCUGACGUUAAAUUAAUACUUUGAUCAGGACCGUUGGCAUUAACUCCCUGUCGGGUGAACUUCCUAAGGAACUUGGAUUGCUCACUGAUUUACGAUCACUGUAAGUUUAGUUAGCUGGGAACUUGAUGAGUUUGUUAUUCAACUGAUGAGGACACGAGGACAGCGAUCUAUUUUUUUUUUCUUUUCAAUAUGAUUAUUAGCGUAAUGCUUUUGGUUAAGUGUUUCUACAUAAAUAGCGAUCUAAUUAUUGCCCAAGGAUAUAGUCUGUGCUACAAAUUGCUUGCUUUGUACAUAGUUAUAUGUGAUGGGUACUCGGAUAGAUUAUCUUAAAUAAGACUCUUUCUCUGUUGACUUUUCUCAUUAUAUUGCAGUGGUUUUGGAUCAAACAACUUCUCUGGUCCUCUGCCAUCUGAGCUUGGGAAUUGUUCGAGGCUAGAACAAAUGUAAGAGUUGUUCAUUUUGUUCUGUUUUAAGUAUAUAAUGUUCAUUUCUUGUUAGUUUGUAUUUAGUAGAAGUGGUUUUUGGAAAUCUAUAUCAAUUCUACAUUCAUAUAUUGAAAUGAAUUCAAUGACAGUGAUUAUGCCAUUUUGGCUUACCUACGUUCCUACUUGCAUGUUAACUGUUUUUCAGUUCUUCCCUCACUAUCUAUAAAUAAUUUGACUUUUGCAUUUUCAAAUGAAAAAGUUAUCUGAUAACAACACAGCUUAAAAAUAUUUUACCUUGACAGUUAUUUUGGUAGCUCUGGAGUUAGUGGUGAAAUUCCUCCUACAUUUGCUAACCUACGAAACAUGGUUACUGUGUAAGAACUGUUUGACAACUUUGACCCUGGUAAAUCUCUUUCUAGAAGAUACUGAUAAAAUAUGUUAUGUUGAUUCUUUGUGUUGGUCUCAGGUGGGCAUCAGACACUGAACUUACAGGCAGGAUACCUGAUUUCAUAGGGAAUUGGUCAAAGCUUGUGACCUUGUAUGACAAAUGACAAUUCAUAAAAUUUUUUUUAUUAAUUUUCUUGGAUUAAAGCUCAAGUUAUUACUACUUUUUGGAAAUUGAAUAGAGGAGAUUUGAUAAUUUUGUGUUGCUGCUUAAAUGCCAAAGCCGUAUGCUUAUAUCAGCUAUUCAUAAAUGUAACUGCAGAAGGUUUGAAGGGAACUCCUUUGAAGGUCCUAUUCCAUCAGCAUUAUCCAACCUAACUUCUUUGACAGAGCUGUGAGUACCUGCACCUUUGCAUGCUUGUGUUUAUAUGUUACUCACAUAUGAUAUUAAUAACCUAAGGUAAAUUCUAAAUGUAGGAGAAUAAGUGAUUUAUCAAAUGGAAGCUCUUCACUGGCAUUUCUUAAGGAUAUGAAAUCUCUAACUGUCUUGUAAGAGAAUAUAAUACUAUCUUCUUAUUCAAUGUCUUGGUGUCAUAUAUAAAUCAUUAUUUUUUCUCCCCAGUGAACUUUUAAAAGGUAAAAUGACAAUUCAGUUUAUGUUAUUCAGGGUGCUAAGGAAUGAUAAUAUAUCUGAUUCAAUUCCAUCCAGUAUUGGAGAAUACCAGAAUUUGACACAGUUGUAAGUUAUUUCUAUUGAUGAGUCAUUAGAUGUACAAGUAGUUGGCAAUAUCUUAUGUUGAACUCAGGUUGGCUAAAAUAUCUUUUUACUCAUUAGCUGAUUGUUGAUUGUAUCACUUUCUGGAGUUGGGUGUUACAAAAUUUAUAAAUUGCUAAAGUUUAGUGAUCAAAUUUAGCAGAUUGGUUGUGCUUUUCUGAUUAGGCAAUUGAUCACUCUAAAGUAAAUGCAAAUAAAUUACCCUCUUUGGGAUGGAGUAAUGGUCUGGUGUCUGGGUUAAAUUCUGAAUCUCCUGUACCAUGAUCAAUCAGUUCUUUUUUUCUGUACUGUGUAUAACUUGUUCAGCAAUUUUGUUUAUCUUUAACUUUAUGGUUGCAAUGAUUUUUUUCCUUAGAGAUUGGAGCUUCAACAAUAUAAUUGGAAGGAUACCGGAUUCACUUUUCAAUUUGAGCCAGCUCUCUUUCUUGUAAUAUACCAUCUCUGCUUGAUUUUAUCAUGAUACAUCUCAAUGUGCAUUUCAAAUUGAACAUAUACUGCUCCCUUCCUCCUCAGGUUUCUUGGAAAUAACAAGUUGGAAGGUCCCCUUCCUGCACAAAAAGUUUCAUCGCUCCUAAAUGUGUAUGUACAUCUCAAAUAUUCUAUCCAAUAUCAAAUACUAUCUGUUUAUUUCCUGGUUGGAUUAUAUGCUUAAUGUUUUUCUCUAUGUCCCAAGUCCAAAUAGUUAAUAUUGACAUAACUAAUUCCGGACUAAGGUAUUUCAUGAAUUGGGUGAAAUACUUAUCUUUUUUUUCUUUGACAAUUUAUAAUUACAGUGAUGUUUCAUACAAUAAUUUAUCAGGGAGCCUUCCUUCCUGGGUUAAUGAUCAAAAUUUACAAGUGUAAGUUCUUAGUUCCUCUGUUCUUUACUUUUCUUAGUGAUAUUUCUGACUCAUUCUCUAUGGAGUUAUUGAACUUCCACUGAAAUCUUUAUUUCUUUGUGGUGUUUGUGCAGUAAUUUAGUUGCAAACAACUUCACAAUAGAUCUUUCAAAUAGCAGGUAAUUCUUUUGGUUCUAUGUUCACCUUCGUGCUUAAAUAACUGGUACUUAGUGUCUGUCUUAAUUUCCUAUUAGUCACUUAAUCAAAUUUAUCUUUUGCUUUCAGUGGUUUGCCAUCAGGUCUGAAAUGUCUUCAACGUAACUUUCCUUGCAAUAGAGAACCUCCAAUCUGUAAGUAUAAUUAAAAUGCUCUCCUUUUUCCUACUUUUCGGAAAUAGCGCACUAAGUUUGGUAGUGAGGGUCACAGAAGAAGGGAAGGUUAAUUUACUUAAGAAUAAUGUCAUUUCAAACUGUAAACUUUUNNNNNNNNNNNNNNNNNNNNNNNNNNNNNNNNNNNNNNNNNNNNNNNNNNNNNNNNNNNNNNNNNNNNNNNNNNNNNNNNNNNNNNNNNNNNNNNNNNNNNNNNNNNNNNNNNNNNNNNNNNNNNNNNNNNNNNNNNNNNNNNNNNNNNNNNNNNNNNNNNNNNNNNNNNNNNNNNNNNNNNNNNNNNNNNNNNNNNNNNNNNNNNNNNNNNNNNNNNNNNNNNNNNNNNNNNNNNNNNNNNNNNNNNNNNNNNNNNNNNNNNNNNNNNNNNNNNNNNNNNNNNNNNNNNNNNNNNNNNNNNNNNNNNNNNNNNNNNNNNNNNNNNNNNNNNNNNNNNNNNNNNNNNNNNNNNNNNNNNNNNNNNNNNNNNNNNNNNNNNUCAUCAUCGCAAUCCACAAAUACUUUGGACCCUGAGUUAUUCCAAACGGCAAGGAUUUCUGCUUCGUCACUAAGAUACUACGGUUUGGGGCUUGAGAAUGGCAAUUACACUAUCAACCUUCAGUUUGCAGAAAUAGUAAUUGAGGAUGGUAACACAUGGAAGAGUCUUGGGCGGCGUGUUUUUGAUGUUUAUGUCCAGGUCUGUGUAUUAUAUAUGAAUUUUUUUUAAGACUUCUAAUGUUGUCCUCCAAAUGGAAGAUAAUAUUGCAAUAGACUUCUAAUUUUUUUUUUUUAAUAUUAAUUCUAAGUAUUGCUCUGGGGAUUUCUUUUAAAUAACAUGAAUGUGGAGAAUAGCUAUAAAAAUUGCUGCAUGAUUGCUUCCAGAAGGAUUUAUCUUUCACAAUUAAAUUCAAAACUAUUUUAGUGAUGCUGAUUAUCAAUGCUAUGGAGAAAUCCAACUCUUGUUUUCUUGUGGAGUCAUUAUAUUUUUACUUUUCUUUAAUUGAAGUUCCGAAGUUAUUUUAAUCCAGGGGAAUCUUGUGGUAAAGGAUUUUGACAUAAGAAAGGAGGCAGGUGGAGUCUCAAAACGAGCUGUAGAAAGGAGCUACAAGGCUCGGGUGUCUGAAAAUUACCUUGACAUCCAUUUAUUUUGGGCGGGGAAAGGGACUUGCUGCAUUCCUUUUCAGGGUACAUAUGGACCUUCUAUUUCAGCAAUCAGUGCUACCCCAGGUACUAAAACUAGAGAAUUUUAUUGAUUUUCACUACGCCGAUACCAGGUUGUUGAGUUCUGAGCCUUUAUGCAGAUUUCAUACCAACUGUUAGUAACAAGCCUCCAACUAGUAAAAAGGAUAGGACUGGUCUUAUUGUGGGAAUUGUUGUUGGCAUUGGAGUAGCAAGCUUUCUUCUUGUCUCUCUGGUUUUCUUUGUCAUUCAAAGAAGAAAAAGGCAAAGCACUUAUGAUGAUGAAGGUAAAUGAAAAUCAAGCUCCAUAUAUGGUACUACCCAUCUGGAAAAUUGUGUAGUCUUCAUAUAUGUAUCAAGAGAUGCUAUUGGCCAGACAUGAUUUUAGCUUUUUAUUGGUAUUAAUUAACAUUUAAGGAACAUAUUAUGUCAAACACAAAAUGAAGAUUUACUGACUUUCCCUAUUCCACAUUGAGAUUUACUGGAGUCUUUCUGCUUAAUAUAUUACAGUAACAACUAGACAAGUAGUUUUUCGAAUGACCCAUCUUUGUGUUGAAAUUGCAGAGCUCCUAGGUAUAGGUGCUAGGCCAUACACUUUCAGUUACACUGAACUGAAGACAGCUACAGAAGACUUCAGCCCUGCCAAUAAGCUUGGAGAGGGAGGAUUUGGACCUGUGUAUAAGGUCUGCAACUAUUUGACUCAAGGAUAUUUCAAACUGAUAGUCUUUCAUUUCCAUCUAAUAUUUCUUCUGUGUGCAAUCGUUUGGAAUAAAUUGAGGCCAGUUAUUAACUAGACUAUGAACAUGCUACCUUCGGUCAACUGUAAACAAAGUAUCUGAUAUAUGUUAAUUUUGGUCCUCAAGAUCUUCUGACCACAUGUUCUUUUUUGUCACUUGUAUAGCUGGGCGUUCUGAGGUUGAGCCUUGAUGGUUACUUGUCAUGGGCUCAAACUAUAUGAAUAGCCUCACAAUGCUAGGGGAUGGCUGCAUGCAUUUGACUCAAUGCAUGACGCCUUGUGCACUGGGAUGCCUUCCUUCAUGGUUGAGCUGUCUAACUUGCAGGAAAUAUAAAAUAUGCAGAUGCUUAUUUUCUGAACUCACUCCACACAGAACUUGCAUCUUCUGUCCCCAAUGGAUUGAGAAUCUAAAAGAGUUGUAUUUUUCAUUUUUUUUAAGUUCAGGGUGUAUCUUCCUUUUUUCUUUUUUCUUCUUGUCCUUAUCUGAAUUUUGUUCUCAAAUAGGGAGUACUUAAUGAUGGGAGAGUGAUUGCUGUGAAGCAACUUUCUGUGGCAUCCCACCAAGGAAAGAGCCAGUUUGUAACAGAGAUUGCUACUAUAUCUGCCGUGCAACACCGCAACCUUGUGAAAUUGUAUGGGUGCUGCAUUGAAGGGUAUAAUAGGCUACUUGUUUACGAGUAUCUCGAGAACAAGAGUCUUGAUCAAGCACUAUUUGGUACGAUAUUUUAUUAUAAAUUCACAUAAGCAAACUCUUGUCACAGAGACCUUGGUGGAAAUAUAGUUUAAUUACACGCGGAUUGUAUGUUACAGGAGAAACAAGUUUAUAUCUCAACUGGCCUACACGUUGUGAAAUAUGCUUGGGAGUGGCCAGAGGUCUAGCUUAUCUUCAUGAGGAGUCGAGGCUUCGGAUUGUGCAUAGAGAUGUGAAGGCAAGCAAUAUUCUGCUUGAUUCUGAGCUCAUCCCCAAAAUUUCAGAUUUUGGUUUGGCCAAACUUUAUGAUGAUAAGAAGACCCAUAUAAGCACCCGUGUCGCAGGAACAAUGUAAGAUCCAGUGAUUAUUCUUUCUGACUUAAUUAAUCUCCAAUUUAAUCAUUUCUUGAAAAAAAUAAAUCGUGUGAGCGGAGUAAUUUUAUAGUGACAUCAUCAUUUCUACUGUAGUGGGUAUCUUGCACCUGAAUAUGCUAUGCGUGGACACCUUACAGAAAAGGCUGACGUCUUUGCAUUUGGUGUGGUGGCUCUGGAAGUCGUAAGUGGGAGGCUAAAUUCAGACUCAAGCCUGGAAGAAGAAAAGAUUUAUCUUCUCGAAUGGGUAUGAUAUAAAAGAUGCAUUCCUUCGAAUGGAACUCUUUUUUUCCCUUUAUUGGAAAAUUUCAAUUGCCUUUACCAUAUGUCCAAUCUUAGCUAUUAAGAAGAAUUAGUGCAUUCAUAUAUUUUAAUUAUGCAAAAAGUUGAAACAUCAUUAAGGUUGGAUGCAAAUUAAUUGUGAAAGUUUCAAUUUUUCACUUAAAAUAAAAUUAAAAAGACCCAGUAUUUUCUUAUAUUCUUUUAGAAUCAGUGAAGGAAGUUCAAAAAUUUCUUUCAAUUAUUGAGCAGAGUUAUAAUAACUUUGAAUAAUUUAUACAUCUAUUGCUUUGAAUGUUGUCCAUUAAUGGAACUUGUAACGUUUUUGACUUUUAGGCCUGGCACCUGCAUGAAAACAAUCGUGAAGCAGAACUAGUAGACUCUAGAUUAUCAGAAUUCAGUGAGGAGGAAGUAAAACGCUUAAUAGGAGUAGCUCUUUUGUGCACUCAAACUUCACCAAAUCUUCGGCCACCAAUGUCACGCGUAGUGGCUAUGCUAACUGGUGAUAUUGAAGUGAGCUCUGUAACUAACAGACCUGGAUAUUUGACUGACUGGAAAUUUGAUGACACAAGCAACUUCAUGGAUGAUAAUGGAGGCAGAGGAAUUGAUAACAGUUAUUACAGUUCAUCUACAAGUGCAAGCAUGGUGACCGACGCAGAGCAUACACAUAUAAGUGCCGCCAAACCCAUGCUUUCGUAGAUCAUUGGAGAGGGUAGAUAAAGAAACCUUCUUUUCUAUUUCCUUCUUUUUCUAAAUGCUCAUGCAUCUAAUUGUAGAAGUGAGCUUUGCUAUUUUAAUUUUGUUUUUCCCUGAUGCAAUUAAAUGGAUAUCAAAUUUUUGUUUAAUUUUUAGCCACUAAAAAAAAAAAAAAAAAUCCAGGAUUAAUAAAUUAGUACCGGUACAUACUCCAGAAGAAAAUGGCUAAUUUUCUUAUAUAAAGGAAAAAAUAUUUCCAUUUAAUUGCAGGAAAUUUAGACAAAAUUAUUGGCCUUGAUAUUUCUUAAAUUCACAGAUUAUUCUUUUUAUUACUUUGCAUCAAAAUUAAACUUUAGCAGUCCUAAACAGCCAAAAGAAACCAAAAGUAUUAAUUAAAUAGUUGUUAAAUCAUAAUUUUUUUCUUCAUGCAAUCGCUGCUUUUGUGCAAUAAACAGUAAACAGGCAAAUAUGAAAUACAAAUCAAAUUUAAGAACAUCAAACUUCUAAAUCACACUUAUUUCAUGAUUCCUCCACCAUAAAAUUCCGCAAAUUACAAUAGCAGAACAGAAUAUUCUGCACAAUCGGUUGCUACCCAAGACAAUAGCAGCAACAAAGAAUUUUUGCCAUCAAAUUCAAAACCCCAUAACCCAACCUAACUGCACAAAAUGAUCCUUGUCAAUCCCAGAACUAAACAUGACACCGUAAAGAAAAACAGAGUAACAAAAUCCCUUGCGGACCAUUUCCUUACCACCUUCGUCUCCACGCGCAAACUCUUAGCUCUUCUAAGCGCAUCAACUUCCUUUAAAAGAUCAAAUUCUAUUCCCUUCUUCUUCAACUCUUCUACACACUUGGCCAAUAACUUCCCAUCUUCUUUCUCUCUCUCCAACAACUUCUCCAUAUGGCAUUCUACAUCUGUUUUAUAUCGAACUGCCCAGAUUAUCCCCAAAGAACACAAAAGAGAACACAAUGAUGGGAUCCAUGAUCUCUUACAGUAGGACCCACUUCCAGGUGGGUCUCUAGAAGAGGCAUUGAAUAGUAUUUCUUUCCUUCUUUCACCAUUAAAUCAGGAUGCAUAUAUUUUUUAUAAGGAUAAUAAAUAUUUUUUAUCGGCAAAUUCAAUUUAUUUUAUUAAUAUAUCAAAAAAAUUUAACAUGUUCAAACAAAGAUAAUUAUCAGCAUUGCAUUAUUUGAGAUUUAACUUAAUUAUUCCAAAUCAUUGUAUUAGCAUCUAAAUGAAGUUAUUACUCUUGAAUAAUAUAAAGUUGAAGAUAAAAAAAUAACAUACUGCAGUUGGUGUGCCCACUCGCCGCCAAUCAUCUCCCGGGAUGCUUUUCUUUUCUUACACCUGCUGAAGUUGACAAAUCGAAGCUGUGGACUUUGUCUCAAUUCGUAAAUCCCAGGGGCCGCUGUCCAUUCCCCAUUAGACUUUAAGGUUUGCUUAUCUGCCACGGUCGAUGAGAGCGCGCUGUUCUCUCUGUGCUCACCAUCCAUUUUUUCUAGAUAUAAAUCUAGAAUAAUAUAAAAAAAAAAAAAUCAAGCUUUAUUAUAUAUUCUGGAUGUGGUUUUUGUAUGUUAAGAAAAACAGUGUCUUUAUUAAUCAAGCAAUCCUGGACAGGAAACGAUUGAUCAAUACCCAUGGUUAGAUAUUCACCAUUGUCGGUUCUAGUUCUGGUAUUGGUUCUAUACUGUAUUUGCAUGAUCGGUAUAGUUCAUGCACAGAUUCUAACGAAGGUAAGAAGCUCCAUCUAUACAGCUCUCUAUCUUAUAUAUAUAUAUAUAUUCUUGUUGUUCAUGAAGAUGACAUGUCACACAAACGUGCCUAAUUCAUAUAGUUUUUUGAAGUCAAUUCAAUAUUUGAGCAGCAAAUUUCUCUUGGCAUUAGGUCCAAGAGGUUCAGCUAUGCUUGACUCACCCACUGUACUACCGAUACUUAUAUCUUGGCCCAUCUCAUGACUCGUAAGCCUUGACUCUUGCUUUUAUCGUCAUCAUCCCUCCACAAUCAAAUACAAUAAAUUCCGAAUACUUUCUAUUUAUAAAAUUAUAUAUAUUAAACACUUUAAUUUAAAAAUUAAAUUAAUUAAAUAUUUAUUAAAAUAGAUAAUAAAUAUGAAAAUUAUUAUUUUAAAAUUUAUGUUAACCACUCAUCAAUUUAAUUUUUUUAGCAUAUAAAAUUCAAAAAAUUUAAAAAUUAUUAUUGUUUGUGUAGAAAUAUAUCUUUGUUAUCAAAAUUUAUAAUUUAAAAAACGGGAUAAAUCCCUCUCGAAAUUAAAAGUACCACUAGGUUACCAUUACAAUGAUCGAAAGGAUUGGCCCUCAAUAUUUAUAUUUCUAUUUUUUUUUCAAUAAUUGUGGUUGAAUAGUAUUUCUUUCCCUCUUUCACCAUUAAAUCAGGAUGCAUAUAUUUGAUGUUAACAAAAGUUUGAUUUAUCUACAUAUUUUAAAUUUGUCCAUACUUCUUUUUUAUUACAAGACUAAUUUUGGAUCAUGUAAAAGCUAUGAUACGAUAAAAGAUUGCACAUAAAUAUAUUAUAUAUCAACUUGAAAUGACAUUGGCAUCAUCUUCUGUAAGUUAAACUUAUUUUACACGGUAGAAUAAAAAAUAGACUGCUGUAAUUAUCAUUUCAUUUUCAUUUUUUAGAAAAUUGGAUCAUUUCAUCCAAUCUCAGACAUCUUUUUCUAUUUCCAUUGGAAGUUCUUAUCAAUUUUAGUCAAACAAAAAGAACAGACUUUUCUAUUAUUAAUUUGGGCUACGGGUCCAUUGAUUAAUCCAAUUGUGUCCUUAGCAAAAUAUGCUAAAUAUUAUAGAAAGUGUUUUAUUAUGAUUAUUUAUUUUUCAGAUACAAUGUUAUAAAAAUGUGAAAGUUUACCCAUAAAGAUUUUUUUAAUGGAAGCACUUAAAAGAAAAAGAAUAAAUUUAAUAUGUGCUUCGAUAUAUAUAUAUAUAUAUAUAUAUAUAAAGGGAAUUCGUGAAGUUAAAAUUUUGCAGAAUCCUAACAUCAUAAAAAGAAGCCUUUUACAGAUAAGAAGUGCAUAUAAUAACAUCAUAAAAAAAUUAUUGGUGUACUACAUUUUUAUUGGUUAAAUUUGUCAUUUAUAUAUUACUAUCAGAUAAGAAGCCUUUUGCAGAAUCCUAACAUCAUAAAAGAGAUGUUUGUGUUAAAGAAAUGGAGAGGUGGGGGUCGGUAGUUUAAUAAAAAAUUUUGGAAGCAAAAAAGGAUAAUAAAGCAACGUAUAAAAGAGGCAAGAGAUAGGUUUGAUGAUAUCAAUGUUCAAAAAUUAAAAAAAUGAAUGGAAUACUAUUCUAUUCAAAGAAGAGUGCCAAAUGAGACAAAUAGGGAAACAGAGAUGGUUUUCUUGUGGAGAUCAAAACUCCAAAUAUUUCCAGGCUUCAAUAAAGACUAGAAAAAAGAGAACUAAAAUUAUGAAGUUGGAAAAUGAGGAUGGCGAGAUACUUACAGAUAAUGACAGUUUGGAACAACUUACAUUGAAUUAUUUUUCUACUGUUUAUAGUGCAGAAGAAUCAGUUUGCAUUCAAAUUUUUAAUCUUGUUCAACCAAAGGUGACAGAUAUCCAGAACAAUAUUCAUACGGCUCCAUUUACGUUGGAUGAGAUCAGAGAAGCUGCAUUUGAUAUGCAACCUGACAAAUCACCUGGACCGGAUGGCCUAAAUCCGGCAUUCUUUCAAAAAUUUUGGCAUGUGAUUGGAGAUGAUAUUUGGAGGGACUGCAAACAAUGGCUUGACACAGGUACCUUCCCAAAAACUUUGACAGAUACCCAUAUUGUGUUGCUUCCUAAAUGUGAUAAUCCUAUGUCGUUAAAAGAGUAUAGACCUAUUUCGCUUUGUAAUGUUUUUGUAUAAAAUUGUAGCAAAAUCUCUAGCGAAUAGGUUGAAAAAAAUUCUUCCUUUAAUUAUUGAUGGAUGUCAAUCUGCUUUUGUUCCCGGGAGGUUAAUUUCUGAUAAUGUGGCGGUGGCUUUUGAAUUAAUUCACAACAUUAAAAGUAGGAAGAAUCAAGGGGGUGCUUGUGCUUUAAAAAUUGAUAUUUCGAAAGCAUACGACAGGGUUAAUUGGGAGUUUUUAAGGGGUAUGAUGCUGAGAAUGGGUUUUUGUGAGAAGUGGGUGAAGUGGAUGAUGUUAUGUGUCACUGAUGUGAAGUACUCUGUGUUAUUGAAUGGUAAGGAGGUGGGCCCUAUUCGUCCUGAUAGAGGUUUGAGACAUGGCGAUCCUUUGUCGCCUUGUUUUUAUUCUGUGCGGAGGGUUUGUCUUUAUUAUUUCAGGAUGCUAAAAGGAGAGGUAGAUUGCAAGGUGUGAAGAUGGGAAGGAAUUGUCCGAGCAUUACACACUUGCUAUUUGCGGAUGAUUCUUUUUUCUUUUUUGAGGGUUCUUUACAGGAAGCAGAGGAGGUCAAUGAUAUUUUGAAGAAAUAUGAGAGAGCAUCGGGUUAGGCCAUUAAUUUGAACAAAUCGGUAUCUUGUUUAGCCCGAAUAUGAGUAGAGAAUUGAUGACUAAUAUCUCUACUAUUUUGAAUGUUGCUGGUUCAAUUGGUGGGGGCACUUAUCUUGGUCUUCCAUCUCUCAUUGGCAAAUCGAAAAAACAGGUGUUUGGCUUCCUUCAGGACAGACUUGAAAAAAGGAUUGGCAAUUGGUCUAACAGAUUCCUCUCUAGAGCCGGAAAGGAGAUAUUAAUUAAGUCGAUUGUGCAAGCUAUUCCUUCUUACUGUAUGAGUGUGUUUAAAAUACCUCUUUCUACAUAUGAAGCGCUGCAAAAAAGGAUGAACAAGUAUUGGUGGGGUUAGAAGGAAGAAGGGCGUAGAGGGAUUCAUUGGUUAGCGUGGGAGAGGAUGUGUUGUAGUAAAAGGGAAGGUGGUAUGGGUUUUAGGGAUCUUCAUUGUUUUAAUAUGGCCAUGCUAGCUAAGCAAGGGUGGCGUCUUAUGACGGAGCCCGAUACUCUUUUUUCUAAACUUUUCAAAGCCAAAUAUUUCCAUAAUAUGGAUUUUUUGGAUGCUCCUCUUGGUAGGCGUCCUAGUUAUGUGUGGAGGAGUAUUCAUGCUGCUAUUGGGGUAUUAAAAUAGGGGGGUACGAUGGAGAGUAGGGAAUGCGGAAACUAUCGGUGUAUUAUCACAUCCAUGGAUGCCUUUGGAUUAUAGUUUUUGGGUGGAGGAUAGUAGGGACUUUGUUGAUCCUAAUAUGAAAGUGAGGGAGCUUUUUGUGGAGGGGAAAGGGAGAUGGGAUGUGGGGAAGGUGAUGACUCUUUUUAGCUUGAGAGAGUUUAGAGCUAUAUUAGGGAUUCCUAUUAGUAUUAACGCUAAUAGGGACCAAAUUAUGUGGCAUUGGGAUAAAAAAGGCAUUUAUAGCGUUAGGUCGGGGUACUACGUGGCAAGGAGGUUAUGUGGAUAGAGGAUGCAUGAGGUAGAAGGUGGAUGGUGGGGUAAGAUGUGGGGUUUAGAUGCUUCCCCUAAAGACAAAGAUUUUAUGUGGAGGACUCUAAGGAAUGUGUUGCCUACGAAGGAGAGAUUGAAAAGGAGAGGGGUGGAGAUUGAUAUUGGGUGUCCUUGAUGUGGGGAGGAAGAGGAUAUUAAUCAUGCAAUAGUGUCAUGUAGUAAGGCUAAGGGAGUUUGGAGGCAAGGAGGGUAUGAAGUAGGUGAUGUAAAUAUUUCUUUUACUAACUUCUUUUUGCAGGUACUUGUUAAUGGUGAUAAACUAAAAUCCCAAAAGUUUUUGGUGUAUGCUAGAUAUAUUUGGAUGGCAAGAAAUAAUGCUCUUUGGAACAGUAUAAGAGACAUGUGCUACACUACAUUCUUGAAGGCAAAAGAAUACAUGAUUAGUUGGGAACAUACAAAGUUGGCGCAAAGGAGCAUGGCUAGUGCAUCCUCAAAUACAAGUCGGCAGCGGCUUGCAAUAUUUCCACCUGGACAUCUUAGCAACAGUGGAGACCAAUCAUGGCAAGCUUUUGUGGAUGGUUCUAUUUUUGAGCAAGAAGGCAUGCAAGGAUUUGGAGCGGUGAUGGAGACAGAGGAAGGCAUUUUUAUUCGAGCAGUUUCAGGCCACGUUACAGGUGGUACGAACUCUUUUAUUGCGGAGGCUCUAGCUCUUCGUAGUUUUUUAUUAUUUCUCAAGCAAAAUUAUGUUGAGCAUGGAGGUAAUAUUUUCAUAGACUCGCAGGGUUUUUUUUUUGCUUUGGUUCAGAUCGGAUGUGGGGAGUAUUAUUUAUGAUUGUAAAAACUUAUUUUUAGAACUCCCUUUGGUUUCGUGUAGAUGGAUUCGUAGGCAAGCGAACUUAAAGGCUCAUAUCCUAACUCGAGCUUUUAUUCGCUUUGCGCAUCUACGUAUCUGGAAUUAUAUUCCUCAUUGUUUGUCCGAGAUUUAUGAUAAUGAAUGAAAUGAUAUGAGUUUUACUCUUUCAAAAAAAAAAAAAAAAAAAAAAAAAACCUAUUACUAAAUAUUUAUCUUAGGGAAACGAUAUAGUCAAAGCUUUUUUUCUUUUCCCCUAAUUAAUCGUAAUUCAAUUGAAAAUCUGUAUAAUCUGUUUAGAUUUUCAGAAUUUAAUGACAAUUUUUAAAUUCUAAUUCUCUAGAUUAUAUAAACGAAAAAAAUAUUUUUAUUGUGUAGCUUAUAAUAUUAUUAAAUUUUUUUUUAAAUAAUUAUUUCAUAAUUUAACGUCGGAAGGAAUAAAAAAUUCAAUACCGAACGCUAAGGAAUUGUAAAACGGUACAUUUUUCGGAGUUUUAUUUGACGGCGUCUCUCUGGCAUCCAACCAAAAAGUUUAGAAGCAGUCAUCUCCUUUUUUGUUUUUUUGAAAACAUAUCCUAAUCCUAUUUAUUGCUUAUUUUGAUUUUUUUUUUUUGAGGUUGACAUUUAUAUUAAUAAACGUUGAUAUUUUUCCCUUGCGGAUAUUGUAUUUGUAGCCGACAAAAGUUGAGGUGUCUAUUAAAAGUUGCUAAAACCUUGUUUUUGUCAUUUUUUUAAUAACUUAGCUUAUUAAUUUAAACACACAUUUAAUUACAUUUUCUUCACCUUUGCUAUUCUCAAUCUCAUUACAUGCUUUCACAAUCAACUUGUAAACUUUUAAUUAAUUAUAGAUUUUGAUUAAAUUAUUUACAUAUAUCGGUGGGUUGAUCAUAAAUAUUUUGUAAUUUUUAUAAAGAUAAUAAGUAUUUUUUAUGAGCAAAUUCAAUUUAUUUUAUUAAUAUAUCAAAAAAAUUUAACAUGUUCAAACAAAGAUAAUUAUGAGCAUUGCAUUAUUUGAGAUUUAACUUAAUUAUUCCAAAUCAUUGUAUUAUCAUCUAAAUGAAGUUAUUAUUCUUGAAUAAUAGAAAGUUGAAGAUAAAAAAAAAUAUAUACUGGACUUGGUGUGCGCACUCGCCACCAAUCAUCUUGCGGAAUGCUUUUCUUACACUUGCUGAAGUUGACAAAUCGCAGCUGGUGGACUUUUCUCAAUUCGUAAGUCCCAGUGGCCGCUGUCAAUUCCCCAAUAGACUUUAAGGUUCGGUUAUCUGCCACGGUCAACGACAGCGCGUUGUUCUCUCUGAGCUCACCUUCCAUUUUUCUAGAUAUAAAUCUAGAAUAAUAUAAAAUAAAAAAAAUAUUCAAGCUUUAUUAUAUAUUCUGGAUGUGGUUUUUGUAUGUUAAGAAAAACUGUGUCUUUAUUAAUCAAGCAAUCUUGGACAGGAAACGAUCGAUCAGUACCCAUGUUUAGAGAUUCACCAUUAUCGGUUCUAGAUCUGGUAUUGGUUCUAUACUGUAUUUGCAUGAUCGGUAUAGUUCAUGCACAGAAUCAAACUCAAGCUACUACAGAUUCUAAUGAGGGUACGAAGCUCCAUCUAUACAGCUCUCUAUCUUAUAUAUAUAUAUAUAUAAAUUCUUGUUGUUCAUGAAGAUGAUAGGUUGAUGACGUUGCUUUCUUCUUUUUUUCAAUAAAUCAUAAAUCAUAUCAUAGGAAUAUAUAUAUAUAUAUAUAUAUAUAUAUAUUCCAUCCCUCUUUUUUUUUCAUUUUAAAAAAAAAUUUAUUAUAGUAUAAAUUUUUAAAAAAUCUGAAAAUUUUCAUUAUAACAAUUUCUUCAUAUUCUAAAAAUAAAAUUAUAAAAAAAAGAAAGAAACGUGAGGAAAUCAAUAAAUGAAUAUUAGAGUAGAGAGGAACAACUUAUUUUGAUAAUUGAUGUUUCAACACGAAAUUUUUAUUGAACAUGAUCAUUUUUUUUUAAAAAUUAUAUGUUAUUUUAGAGACUUAAUAAAAUUAAGAAUUGAAAUAAAAAAAUUUUAAAAAUAUGUUUCAUGAACUGACAAGCUACGUUCGUAUUCUCUCCUCCUCCACCGCAUAUUUUUUUCAUCGAUGUAAUUAAUAAAUUUAGAAAUUUUGUUAUUAUAAUUAUUAUCUAAAAGGAUAGUAAUAGGUUAAAUUUGUCAUUUACAUAUUACUAUCAGGUAGUGCCUGAUCAUGACUUUUUCUAAUAAAUAGUACUAUUAAUUUUUUACAAGUCAAAAGAUAUAAUAAUCUUUUGAAUUUUUUAAAUUUUGACUUUUUGAAAAAUUAAAAAUGUCUGGCAACUAGAACACCAAUAAAAAUGUAGGCAAAAAUUGCUAUUAUUCGCAAGUGGCGGUAGUUAUUACGAUUUACGGCAUAGUCAAAAAAAUAAAUCGCUGCGUAUGAUACUGUAAUUGAAUAAUUCAAAACUGUUUUUUCUUUUAAAAAUUUAAGUAUCCAAAUUUGAAUUAAAAAAUGAUUUUAAUCUGAUGAAUGCAAAUUCAUGAAUUUUAUAGUGUGGUUAAUUUUCAUCAAAUUGUGAAAAUUCUUGUCAGAAAACUCGAAAUCAAUACCUCCACUGGUGAGAAGACCAACCAACUGGCUUCUUCGGUUAAUUUUCGAAGUCAUAAUAGAAACGAAAAUGGAAUCGCCUGUAAAUUGUAAUGAAUUCACUUUGACAUGAUCAUGAGUUUUGUAAAAUUGAUAUAUUGCAGCGAGCGCAUUAAAUUCCAUCUUUCAGCAAUGGGGAAUCCAAGCUAAUCAAAACCAAUGGAAUAUAAGCGGAGAGCUAUGCAGUGGAGCAGCACUCGGUUCAUCACCCGCUAUCGAAAUCCCGGAAUACAACCCUUUUAUCAAAUGCAAUUGCUCUGCCAAUAAUGGCACCACUUGCCACAUUACUGCGCUGUACGUUUUCUCACAAUCAACCUUUUAUGUUUAUUUUGUUGGUCUUUUAACAUUUUCCUUUGCGGAGGUAUCAUAUCUGUUUGAUUUUAUGCCUCACUCGGUAGUGAACGGCUUGAUUUUAGUGUUAUAAUUAAUCUUCGCUCAUUCUUGAAAUGGUUUGCAGGAAAGUUUAUGAAAGAGAUGUUGUGGGUGUAAUUCCAGAUGAACUGUGGACUUUGACUUUCCUCACCAAUUUGUAUGGUUUCUUACUCUGGGUAUAUUUAUUAAAGUCGUACACUUCCGCAUUGCUUUCUUCUUUCACAUGGAAUGAAAGUUUAAGCUUUUAGCAUCCUAAGCCUUAACCAAAUAAAUGCAUAUGCUUUGUUACUUUUCGACCCUCGUCAACCCGCUAGUGUACUGAACUCGUUUUCUUGCCUUACAGGAAUUUGCGUCGGAAUUACUUGACUGGUAACCUCUCUCCAUCCAUUGGCAAUUUAACUCGCAUGCAAUACCUGUAAGCUGAUCUAAAUUUCUCUACUUUUACUCAUAGGAAAUGCCAUUAUAUACUGCUUCUUGUUUUCUGACGUUAAAUUAAUACUUUGAUCAGGAGCGUUGGCAUUAACUCCCUGUCGGGUGAACUUCCUAAGGAACUUGGAUUGCUCACUGAUUUACGAUCACUGUAAGUUUAGUUAGCUGGGAACUUGAUGAGUUUGUUAUUCAACUGAUGAGGACAGCGAUCUAUUUUUUUAUUUUUUUUUUCUUUUCAAUAUGAUUAUUAGCGUAAUGCUUUUGGCUAAGUGUUUCUACAUAAAUAGCGAUCUAAUUAUUGCCCAAGGAUAUAGCCUGUUCUACAAAUUGCUUGCUUUUUAUAUAGUUAUAUGCGAUGGGUACUCGGAUAGAUUAUCUUAAAUAAGACUCUUUCUCUGUUGACUUUUCUCAUUAUAUUGCAGUGUUUUUGGAUCAAACAACUUCUCUGGUCAUCUGCCAUCUGAGCUUGGGAAUUGUUCGAGGCUAGAAGAAAUGUAAGCGUUGUUCAUUUUGUUCUGUUUUAAGUAUAUAAUCUUCAUUUCUUGUUAGUUUGUAUUUAGUAGAAGUGGUUUUUGGAAAUCUAUAUCACUUCUACAUUCAUAUAUUGAAAUGAAUUCAAUGACAGUGAUUAUGCCAUUUUGGCUUACCUACGUUCCUACUUGCAUGUUAACUGUCUUUCAGUUCUUCCCUCACUAUCUAUAAAUAAUUUGACUUUUGCAUUUUCAAAUGAAAAAGUUAUCUGAUAACAACACAGCUAAUAAAAAUAUUUUACCUUGACAGUUAUUUUGGUAGCUCUGGACUUAGUGGUGAAAUUCCUCCUACAUUUGCUAACCUACGAAACAUGGUUACUGUGUAAGAACUGUUUGACAACUUUGACCCUGGUAAAUCUCUUUCUAGAAGAUACUGAUAAAAUAUGGUAUGUUGAUUCUUUGUGUUGGACCCAGGUGGGCACCAGACAAUGAACUUACAGGCAGGAUACCUGACUUCAUAGGGAAUUGGUCAAAGCUUGCGACCUUGUAUGACAAAUGACAAUUCAUAAAAUUUUUUUUAUUAAUUUUCUUGGAUUAAAGCUCAAGUGACUACUACUUUUUGGAAAUUGAAUAGAGGAGAUUUGAUAAUUUUGUGUUGCUGCUUAAAUGCCAAAGCCGUAUGCUUAUAUCAGCUACUCAUAAAUGUAACUGCAGAACGUUUCAAGGGAACUCCUUUGAAGGUCCUAUUCCAUCAGCAUUAUCCAACCUAACUUCUUUGAAAGAGCUGUGAGUACCUGCACCUUUGCAUGCUUGUAUUUAAAUGUUACACACAUAUGAUAUUAACAACCUAAGGUAAAUUCUAAAUGUAGGAGAAUAAGUGAUUUAUCAAAUGGAAGCUCUUCACUGGCAUUUCUUAAGGAUAUGAAAUCUCUAACUGUCUUGUAAGAGAAUAUAAUACUAUCUUCUUAUUCAAUGUCUUGGUGUCAUAUAAAUCAUUAUUUUUUCUCCCCACUGAACUAACUUUUAAAAGUUAAAAUGACAAUUCAGUAUAUGUUAUUCAGGGUGCUAAGGAAUGAUAAUAUAUCUGAUUCAAUUCCAUCCAGUAUUGGAGAAUACCAGAAUUUGACACAGUUGUAAGUUAUUUCUAUUGAUGAGUCAUUAGAUGUACAUGUAGUUGGCAAUAUCUUAUGUUAAACUCAGGUUGGCUAAAAUAUCUUUUUACUCAUUAGCUGAUUGUUGAUUGUAUCACUUUCUGGAGUUGGGUGUUACAAAAUUUAUAAAUUGCUAAAGUUUAGUGAUCAAAUUUAGCAGAUUGGUUGUGCUUUUCUGAUUAGGCAAUUGAUCACUCUAAAGUAAAUGCAAAUAAAUUACCCUCUUUGGGAUGGAGUAAUGGUCUGGUGUCUGGGUUAAAUUCUGAAUCUCCUGUACCAUGAUCAAUCAGUUCUUUUUUUCUGUACUGUGUAUAACUUGUUCAGCAAUUUUGUUUAUCUUUAACCUUAUGGUUGCAAUGAUUUUUUCCCUUAGAGAUUGGAGCUUCAACAAUAUAAUUGGAAGGAUACCGGAUUCACUUUUCAAUUUGAGCCGGCUCUCUUUCUUGUAAUAUACCACCUCUGCUUGAUUUUGUCAUGAUACAUCUCAAAGUGCAUUUCAAAUUAAACAUGUACUGCUCCCUGCUCCCUUCCUCCUCAGGUUUCUUGGAAAUAACAAGUUAGAAGGUCCCCUUCCUGCACAAAAAGUUUCAUCGCUCCUAAAUGUGUAUGUACAUCUCAAAUAUUCUAUCCAACAUCAUAUACUAUCUGUUUAUUUCUUGGUUGGAUUAAAUGCUUAAUGUUUUUCUCUAUGUCCCAAGUCCAGAUAGUUAAUAUUGACAUAACUAAUUCCGGACUAAGGUAUUUCAUGAAUUGGGUGAAAUACUUAUCUUUUUUUUCUUUGACAAUUUAUAAUUACAGUGAUGUUUCAUACAAUAAUUUAUCAGGGAGCCUUCCUUCCUGGGUUAAUAAUCGAAAUUUACAAGUGUAAGUUCUUAGUUCCUCUGUUCUUUACUUUUCUUAGUGAUAUUUCUGACUCAUUCUCUAUGGAGUUAUUGAUGAAAGAACUUCCACUGAAAUCUUUAAUUCUUUGUGGUGUUUGUGCAGUAAUUUAGUUGCAAACAACUUCACAAUAGAUCUUUCAAAUAGCAGGUAAUUCUUUUGGUUCUAUGUUCACCUUUGUGCUUAAAUAACUGGUACUUAGUGUCUGUUAUAAUUUCCUAUUAGUCACUUAAUCAAAUUUAUCUUUGGCUUUCAGUGGUUUGCCAUCAGGUCUGAAAUGUCUUCAAUGUAACUUUCCUUGCAAUAGGGAACCUCCAAUCUGUAAGUAUAAUUAAAAUGCUCUCCUUUUUCAUACUUUUCUGAAAUAGUGCACUAAGUUUGGUAGUGAGGGUCACAGAAGAAGGGAAGGUUAAUUUACUUAAGAAUAAUGUCAUUUCAAACUGUAAACUUUUACCAUUCUUAAUUUGGCAGAAAGUAUAACCAUGAAAUUUUUUAAUCUCCUGGUUCUUGCUAAAGAAAGUAUAACCAUGAGUUUAUCACUAAAGAAAGUUUUGUUUUCAUGGGGUUAAAAAGAUGUCCCAAUAUAACAGUGAGAGGAUAAAUCUGACAGGUUCCUAUUUUCUUCUGGUGCACAGAUUCUCAGUUUGCAAUAAAGAGUGGUGGUCCACCGAUCACGUCUUCCGAUGGAAUCUUGUAUGAGGGGGAAAAUGAGACUCUUGGUGCUGCAACAUCUUAUGUUACUGGUACAAACCGAUGGGGUGUCAGUAAUGUUGGAUAUUUUACCGGAACCAAAAAUCCUCAGUAUACUGCUUCCUCAUCAUCGCAAUCCACAAAUACUUUGGACCCUGAGUUAUUCCAAACGGCAAGGAUUUCUGCUUCGUCACUAAGAUACUACGGUUUGGGGCUUGAGAAUGGCAAUUACACUAUCAAGCUUCAGUUUGCAGAAAUAGUAAUUGAGGAUGGUAACACAUGGAAGAGUCUUGGGCGGCGUGUUUUUGAUGUUUAUGUCCAGGUCUGUGUAUUAUAUAUGAAUUUUUUUUAAGACUUCUAAUGUUGUCCUCCAAAUGGAAGAUAAUAUUGCAAUAGACUUCUAAUUUUUUUUUUUUAAUAUUAAUUCUAAGUAUUGCUCUGGGGAUUUCUUUUAAAUAACAUGAAUGUGGAGAAUAGCUAUAAAAAUUGCUGCAUGAUUGCUUCCAGAAGGAUUUAUCUUUCACAAUUAAAUUCAAAACUAUUUUAGUGAUGCUGAUUAUCAAUGCUAUGGAGAAAUCCAACUCUUGUUUUCUUGUGGAGUCAUUAUAUUUUUACUUUUCUUUAAUUGAAGUUCCGAAGUUAUUUUAAUCCAGGGCAAUCGUGUGCUAAAGGAUUUUGACAUAAGAAAGGAGGCAGGUGGAGUCUCUAAACGAGCUGUAGAAAGGAGCUACAAGGCUCAGGUGUCUGAAAAUUACCUUGACAUCCAUUUAUUUUGGGCGGGGAAAGGGACUUGCUGCAUUCCUUCUCCGGGUACAUAUGGACCUUCUAUUUCAGCAAUCAUUGCUACCCCAGGUACUAAAACUAGAGAAUUUUAUUGAUUUUUGCUAAGCCGAUACCAGGUUAUUGAGUUCUGAGCCUUUAUGCAGAUUUCAUACCAACUGUUAGUAACAAGCCUCCAACUAGUAAAAAGGAUAGGACUGGUCUUAUUGUGGGAAUUGUUGUUGGCAUUGGAGUAGCAAGCUUUCUUCUUGUCUCUCUGGUUUUCUUUGUCAUUCAAAGAAGAAAAAGGCAAAGCACUUAUGAUGAUGAAGGUAAAUGAAAAUCAAACUCCAUAUAUGGUACUACCCAUCUGGAAAAUUGUGUAGUCUUCAUGUAUGUAUCAAGAGAUGCUAUUGGCCAGACAUGAUUUUAGCUUUUUAUUGGUAUUAAUUAACAUUUAUGUAACAUAUUAUGUCAAACACAAAAUGAAGAUUUACUGACUUUCCCUAUUCCACAGUGAGAUUUACUGGAGUCUUUCUGCUUAAUAUAUUACAGUAACAACUAGACAAGUAGUUUUUCGAAUGACCCAUCUUUGUGUUGAAAUUGCAGAGCUCCUAGGUAUAGGUGCUAGGCCAUACACUUUCAGUUACACUGAACUGAAGACAGCUACAGAAGACUUCAGCCCUGCCAAUAAGCUUGGAGAGGGAGGAUUUGGACCUGUGUAUAAGGUCUGCAACUAUUUGACUCAAGGAUAUUUCAAACUGAUAGUCUUUCAUUUCCAUCUAAUAUUUCUUCUGUGUGCAAUCGUUUGGAAUAAAUUGAGGCCAGUUAUUAACUAGACUAUGAACAUGCUUCCUUCGGUCAACUGUAAACAAAGUAUCGGAUAUAUGUUAAUUUUGGUCCUCCAGAUCUUCUGACCACAUGUUCUUUUUUGUCACUUGUAUAGCUGGGCGUUCUGAGGUUGAGCCUUGAUGGUUACUUGUCAUGGGCUCAAACUAUAUGAAUAGCCUCACAAUGCUAGGGGAUGGCUGCAUGCAUUUGACUCAAUGCAUGACGCCUUGUGCACUGGGAUGCCUUCCUUCAUGGUUGAGCUGUCUAACUUGCAGGAAAUAUAAAAUAUGCAGAUGCUUAUUUUCUAAACUCACUCCACACAGAACUUGCAUCUUCUGUCCCGAUUGGAUUGAGAAUCUAAAAGAGUUGUAUUUUUCAUUUUUUUUAAGUUCAGGGUGUGUCUUCCUUUUUUUUUUUUUCUUCUUGUCCUUAUCUGAAUUUUGUUCUCAAAUAGGGAGUACUUAAUGAUGGGAGAGUGAUUGCUGUGAAGCAACUUUCUGUGGCAUCCCACCAAGGAAAGAGCCAGUUUGUAACAGAGAUUGCUACUAUAUCUGCCGUGCAACACCGCAACCUUGUGAAAUUGUAUGGGUGCUGCAUUGAAGGGUAUAAUAGGCUACUUGUUUAUGAGUACCUUGAGAACAAGAGUCUUGAUCAAGCGCUAUUUGGUACGAUAUUUUAUUAUAAAUUCACAUAAGCAAACUCUUGUCUCAGAGACCUUGGUGGAAAUAUAGUUUAAUUAGACGUGGAUUGUAUGUUACAGGAGAAACAAGUUUAUAUCUCAACUGGCCUACACGUUAUGAAAUAUGCUUGGGAGUAGCCAGAGGUCUAGCUUAUCUUCAUGAGGAGUCGAGGCUUCGGAUUGUGCAUAGAGAUGUGAAGGCAAGCAAUAUUCUGCUUGAUUCUGAGCUCAUCCCAAAAAUUUCAGAUUUUGGUUUGGCCAAACUUUAUGAUGAUAAGAAGACCCAUAUAAGCACCCGUGUCGCAGGAACAAUGUAAGAUCCAGUGAUUAUUCUUUCUGACUUAAUUAAUCUCCAAUUUAAUCAUUUCUUGAAAAAAAUAAAUCGUGUGAGCGGAGUAAUUUUAUAGUGACAUCAUCAUUUCUACUGUAGUGGGUAUCUUGCACCUGAAUAUGCUAUGCGUGGACACCUUACAGAAAAGGCUGACGUCUUUGCAUUUGGUGUGGUGGCUCUGGAAGUCGUAAGUGGGAGGCUAAAUUCAGACUCAAGCCUGGAAGAAGAUAAGAUUUAUCUUCUCGAAUGGGUAUGAUAUAAAAGACACAUUCCUUCGAAUGGAACUCUUUUUUUCCCUUUAUUGGAAAGUUUCAAUUGCCUUUACCAUAUGUCCAAUCUUAGCUAUUAAGAAGAAUUAGUGCAUUCAUAUAUUUUAAUUAUGCAAAAAGUUGAAACAUCAUUAAGGUUGGAUGCAAAUUAAUUGUGAAAGUUUCAAUUUUUCACUUAAAAUAAAAUUAAAAAGACCGAGUAUUUUCUUAUAUUCUUUUAGAAUCAGGAUAAAAAUUAUCGUAAUUUUCUUUUUCCUUUUCUUUUUUCUUUUACCUCUUUUCUCUGGUGACCUGAAAAGAACGAGUUUUUCUUUUCUUGUGAUAAGUUGGUAAAUUGUGAAGGAAGUUAAAAAAUUUCUUUCAAUUAUUGAGCAGAGUUAUAAUAACUUUGAAUAAUUUAUACAUCUAUUGCUUUGAAUGUUGUCCAUUAAUGGAACUUGUAACCUUUUUGACUUUUAGGCUUGGCACCUGCAUGAAAACAAUCGUGAAGUAGAACUAGUAGACUCUAGAUUAUCAGAAUUCAGUGAGGAGGAAGUAAAAUGCUUAAUAGGGGUAGCUCUUUUGUGCACUCAAACUUCACCAAAUCUUCGGCCACCAAUGUCACGCGUAGUGGCUAUGCUAACUGGUGAUAUUGAAGUGAGCUCUGUAACUAACAGACCUGGAUAUUUGACUGACUGGAAAUUUGAUGACACAAGCAACUUUAUGGAUGAUAAUGGAGGCAGAGGAAUUGAUACCAGUUAUUACAGUUCAUCUACAAGUGCAAGCAUGGUGACCGACGCAGAGCAUACACAUAGAAGUGCCGCCAAACCCAGGCUUUCGGAGAUCAUUGGAGAGGGUAGAUAAAGAAACCUUCUUUUCUAUUUCCUUCUUUUUCUAAAUGUUCAUGCAUCUAAUUGUAGAAGUGAGCUUUGCUAUUUUAAUAUUGUUUUUCACUGAUGCAAUUAAAUGGAUAUCAAAUUUUUGUUUAAUUUUUAGCCACUCAAAAAAAAAAAAAAAUCCAGGAUUAA